rnacentral:rRNA from 1 species
CUGGCGGCGUGCCUAACACAUGCAAGUCGAACGAGAAAGUGGAGCAAUCCAUGAGUAAAGUGGCGACCGGGUGAGUAACACGUGACUAACCUACCUUCGAGUGGGGAAUAACUCCGGGAAACCGGGGCUAAUACCGCAUAACAUCGCAAGAUCAAAGCAGCAAUGCGCUUGAAGAGGGGGUCGCGGCUGAUUAGCUAGUUGGCGGGGUAACGGCCCACCAAGGCGAAGAUCGGUAUCCGGCCUGAGAGGGCGCACGGACACACUGGAACUGAAACACGGUCCAGACUCCUACGGGAGGCAGCAGUGGGGAAUUUUGCGCAAUGGGGGAAACCCUGACGCAGCAACGCCGCGUGGAGGAUGAAGCCCCUUGGGGCGUAAACUCCUUUCGACCAAGACGAUAAUGACGGUACUGGUGGAAGAAGCACCGGCUAACUCUGUGCCAGCGGCCGCGGUAAUACAGAGGGUGCGAGCGUUGUUCGGAAUUAUUGGGCGUAAAGGGCGCGUAGGCGGUGCCACAAGUCACUUGUGAAAUCUCCAGGCUUAACUUGGAGUCUGCAGGCGAAACUGUGGUGCUGGA